rnacentral:rRNA from 1 species
GAAAAAUAACGAUACAGGUCUCUUUCGAGGCCCUGUAAUCGGAAUGAACGUAUCCUAAACCCAUGGGUGAGGACCCAUUGGAGGGCAAGUCUGGUGCUAGCAGCCGCGGUAAUUCCAGCUCCAAUAGCGUAUGUUAAAGUUGCUGCAGUUAAAAAGCUCGUAGUUGGAUCUCGGGAGUGGGCUGGCGGUCCGGAUGCCCUUGGCUGGGUGUCCGGUCCUUGGGGCCCGGAGCGUUUACUUUGAAAAAAUUAGAGUGUUCAAAGCGGGCCCCCUCACUCGCCUGAAUACCUGAGCUAGGAAUAAUGGAAUAGGACUCCGGUUCCACUGUGUGGGUUUCCGGAACCAGGGCCAUGAUAAAGACGGACGGCCGGGGGCAUUCGUAUUGCGCUGCUAGAGGUGAAAUUAUUGGACCGGCGCAAGACGGACAAAAGCGAAAGCAUUUGCCAAGAAUGUUUUCAUUAAUCAAGAACGAAAGUCGGAGG